GAUGAAUGCUGGCGGCGUGCCUAACACAUGCAAGUCGAGCGGCAGCGAGGGGUGCUUGCACCCUGUCGGCGAGCGGCGAACGGCUGAGUAACGCGUAGGAAUUUGCCCUAAAGUGAGGAAUAACUGCCCGGAAGGGUAGCUAAUGCCGCAUAUGGUCUUCGGAUCAAAGGAUUUAUCCGCUUUGGGAGAAGCUUGCGUUGGAUUAGGUUGUUGGUAGGGUAAUGGCCUACCAAGCCGACGAUCCAUAGCUGGCCUGAGAGGAUGAUCAGCCAGACUGAAACUGAGACACGGUCCAGACUCCUACGGGAGGCAGCAGUGAGGAAUCUUCCACAAUGGGCGGAAGCCUGAUGGAGCAACGCCGCGUGAAGGAUGAAGGCCUUCGGGUUGUAAACUUCUUUUAUGAGUGAAGAAUAUGACGGUAACUCAUGAAUAAGCACCGGCUAACUACGUG
rnacentral:rRNA from 1 species